GCAAACGCGUCGUGCGCUGCGUUGUGUGCGUUGUGUGCUGGUGUGUGUGACCAUACAAAGAAAGCUUUACAUCAGCGCGCCGUGGCCACUGGUGGAACCGACUGUUUCUUUGACGAAAGCUAAACUAACCGCUUACAAAAUGGCGCAAUAUGUCACGAAUUUAUCAUGCAUCAAGUUAUAUUUUCUUUAGUAUAAUAAUUACAUUCGUUUAGUUAAGCAACUUGUUUAUGAUAAUUGUAGAAAAGUGUAGAAAAAUGACACUUGCAUUAUAUCCUGGGAUGAAGAAACGUUAUUUUAUGUCGAUUUCUUUAGAUGACAAAGGAGGUAACCAAAUAGCAUAUCUUACAAAAUCUGAGGACAAUAAUAAGGAUCGUUUAUCAAGGUUAAAAUAAUUAUUUUACUAAAUUAAGACAUUAACAUAUCCAUGUGUUCGACAUAACCUCACUUCUUAAAUCUCUUAAAUUAGUCGGUUGAGAAGCGGAUCGAGAAUGAUUGUUUGAAUAUAAGUCGUACAAAAUUGGAAUGAAACGAUGAACAAUAUACAGAUCUUUAGACAGGCUCAAAUAAUGUAUGUUUAGGAGCAACUUGAAGAUAAUGGAGAUUUAUCUUCUUAAUAUAAAACCUCUAAAAUUGGGAACAGUAUGUCAUAUAUGCAUGAACUUGAUUGAUGUAUUGAUGUAUAAUGAACUGAAGAUAUAAUGAAUUCAAUCAGGUUAA